AAUAAAUAAUAAUUAUUCUAAGGAUGUAAUUUAAAGUUACCAUGUGAAGGAAAUGGAAAUUGUGGCGUUGGUUCAACAAGUGCAUUCUCAAGUACUUUACUAUCAUGUGCAGUACCUUCCCAACCAACAACAACAAAGGUAAAUCGCAUAUCAGAAUCACAAGCACAUAAGACAUUUUCUGAUGUUCUUCCUUUGCGAUUAUGAUAUGCUUGUUGCACCACUUUAGG
rnacentral:lncRNA from 1 species